rnacentral:rRNA from 1 species
CACGUAGGGGGCGAGCGUUGUCCGGAUUUAUUGGGCGUAAAGAGCUCGUAGGCGGCUCGGUAAGUCAGGUGUGAAACCUCCAGGCUCAACCUGGAGACGCCACCUGAUACUGCCGUGGCUAGAGUCCGGUAGAGGAGCGUAGAAUUCCUGGUGUAGCGGUGAAAUGCGCAGAUAUCAGGAGGAAUACCAGCGGCGGAAGGCGGCGCUCUGGGCCGGUACUGACGCUGAGGAGCGAAAGCGUGGGAGCAAACAGG